rnacentral:rRNA from 1 species
GGACAACUGUUGGAAACGACAGCUAAUACCGGAUAUUAUGAGAUUCUCGCAUGGGAAACUUAUGAAAGCUAUAUGCGCCAAGAGAGAGCCUUGCGUUCCAUUAGCUAGUUGGUGGGGUAAUGGCCCACCAAGGCGACGAUGGAUAGCCGGCCUGAGAGGGUGAACGGCCACAAGGGGACUGAGACACGGCCCUUACUCCUACGGGAGGCAGCAGUGGGGAAUAUUGGACAAUGGGCCACAAGCCUGAUCCAGCAAUUCUGUGCGCACGAUGAAGGUCUUCGGAUCGUAAAGUGCUUUCAGUUGGGAAGAAGAAAGUGACGGUACCAACAGAAGAAGCGACGGCUAAAUACGUGCCAGCAGCCGCGGUAAUACGUAUGUCGCAAGCGUCAUCCGGAUUUAUUGGGCGUAAAGCGCGUCUAGGCGGAAAAAUAAGUCUGAUGUUAAAAUGCGGGGCUCAACUCCGUAUUGCGUUGGAAACUGUUUUUCUAGAGUACUGGAGAGGUGGGCGGAACUACAAGUGUAGAGGUGAAAUUCGUAGAUAUUUGUAGGAAUGCCGAUGGAGAAGUCAGCUCACUGGACAGAUACUGACGCUAAAGCGCGAAAGCGUGGGGAGCAAAACAGG